AGGGGGGUGGGGCGCCUGAAGAGCCAGAGGCCGAGCUGGGGACGGAGCGGCCGCUGCCGGGCGGGGGCAGGACCUUGUGCCGCUGAUCCCAAAUUGGUUUACAAUCGAUGGGUUAAACCUUAUAGUCGCCCUCCGUGCUGAGGAAGCCUGUCACACUGUGCGAAAGGUGGUAUUGUACAGCCAUGGAGGAUUCGACUAUCAGUCUGGUUCUUAAAGGAGUCAGCCUUCUGUGGGAAAAGAGAGGACCCUGCAAUAAGGAUGGGGGAUUCCUGAGUUCAUGCAUUUGACCCCUGUUUUCCUAUGCAUCUAUGGGGUUUGCAGGCUUGGCUUCUACUGCACAUGGCAGUUGUGUUCCAGUGUGUGAACUGGGAUGAACAGACUCUGAGAUGAUGAAAAUUGGCACUGAAGUGAAUGCAGCUAUGAAAAUUUACCCCAGCUAGGGAUUGCUGGAAGGAAUGGCUGGGGCUAUCCAUGCUCUACCACUGAUUCACUGAAUGAUCUGAGGAAGCCUGACAGUACUAAGACUAUAGGUCUUCCAGAUGUCAUUCAAAUCUCCUAGCACACUCCAUCAUCCAAAAGGAAAGCCACAAAGAUCCCUCUGGAAUUGUGCAUCAUUCUGCAAACCAAGCCAAAGGUUGAGACACUAAUUGUUCCUCUUGCUGUAAGCAUCACUUCUGCAGCACACCCAGCUGCUGCCGGCCCAUGGAGUAAGAAAAAGCCAACUCAGUGUUUGAGCUCUGAUCCUCUGCAUAGUAACAACUCACCACUGGGAAAAUUUUAUUAUUAAAGGAAGGUUUUAUAUUGAUAUGAUAAAUAUUUAUGCAGCACUUGAAUAUGCAGAGACUUCUGUUUACCUGUACCUACAAUUUUAAGAUUUUAAUGUUUUUAAUUGUUUGAGAUCUGUAGUGAUUAAAUGCUGCUUGCAGGAUUUGGGAAAUGACCAUUCUUGAUUUCCAAAUAUUCUAUUAGUCCAAAUAUUCCAAAUCUUCUGUAGCACGGGCCACAUCUUAAGAGAGGUUGGCUUGUGAACACCUACCUGCACAUCCAUGAUUGCAUAAGCAACGGUGUCUGUUGGUAUGUCUACACUGCAGUCAGAGCGGUGACUGCAGCUCACAGGCAUACCCAGGCUAGCUUUGAUGUAGCUAGCAUUGCUGAAAAUAGCAGUGAAGAUGCGGUGGCAGAGACCCCAGCAUGAUCUAGGAAGGCAAAGACAUACCCAGGAGUCUGGGAGGGCUUGAAUAGCUCGCCCUGCUAUGUCUUCACUGCUAUUUUUACCGGCAUGCUAAAGAUGAUAGUUUAAAUACAUGCAUGUUUUUAGCUGCAGUCACGCCUCCAACUGCAGUGCAGACAUACUCUGACUGUGAAGACCGCUUCUUUCUCCUGUUUGCAGUCUAGUGACAUACCUUGGCCAACAGCAGCAAUUCCUUACAUGGAAAAGUGAUACUACGAAUUGCUAAAGCUAAGAUAUUAACCACCAUUGCCAUAAUAUCUGACUCUGUCAUGUGUGCAUUCAAAUUAUAGCUUGGAUCACAGGUGAUAAUUCAAAUGUAAGGUGUUUUUGCAAGUAGGUUUCAGGGUAUAAUAAUUACAUCUGUAAACCUCUGUAAAUGUGCUUCAUCCAUGCUAAAUGCUAUGUAUUAUUAUUUUGGUACUAUUGGCAGUCUAUAAAAGAAGAGCCUAUUGACUAGAACAACAGGAAUUUUGCCAAGCAAUACUGAAGUGACACUGGCAGAGAUGUCAGGAAGCUUGAACAAUGCAAACCUAUAUUAUACUUGGUUCAAGACAGUGCUAUUGUUGUCCUCCACUUAAUAAGGCUUUAUAAGCACUAAACUCACUUACAAUUUUCUGUUAAAGUUCAUUGCCCUUGUAAAGGACAAGGAAAGGCAAAUCUGUAGUUAACAAAGUAACAGGAGAGCAAAGAACAAGAAAAAUGAGGUAACGUAAAUAAUAAGAGAAAAAGAAUCAAUAGUAACUGUUAGUUGCAAAAUGAUAAGAGUGAUUGGUCAUUUGCCCAGCAUUGUGUGAGUGGAAUCACUAGUGGGCAAUUUGUCUGCUCAUGACUGUGGUGGGCCAAUCAAAAAAGCAGGCAGAGCAUUGUAUUCUUAAAAGGUACAACUGAUCCUGAAUAUAGAAUUCCUAGUUGAUUGGGCAGGUCUCACUAAUCAGUUAUUUUGUAAAUGGGAGGACACCAAAUACAUCAGUUAGAACCUUAUUUUUAAUUCCAUUUAAAAAAACCAAAAAAACAAGAAGGCUCAUUGAUCGGUUUCUACAUUACAAUUCAUUUCCAUUGUUGUGCCACAGGAAAUCUCAAGUACAAUUAAUACAGCCAAUAUUCAUUCAUUCUCAUUCUCUCUCUCUCUCUCUCUCUCUCUAUAUAUAUAUAUAUAUAUACACAUACAUACACACACACACACAUCCCCCUAAAAAAAGUUAAAUUUUAAUAGCAGUGUUUCCUGACUGCAUGUAUUCAGUUCCCUACCAUACAAUUGAUUAUUUUACUUUAGAGAUGCUGAAUUGCUCUUUGUGCUCUAGGUCACUUAUGUUGUGUAAAUGCUUGAUACAUAUAAAAAGGAGCCCUACUGUGGCACUGGUAGCUAGGAAGUUCAUUCUUUGUAGCACACUCCCAUUUGUCACACCUGAAUGAAUGGAAAUGAGUGGGAUUAUCAGGAGUCAGAGUUCCUGAAUGAGGACCUGAAGCCAAAUCCCGAGACGUUCUGAGCAUCUUCACCUCCCAGUUACUGAGGACACUCUCAGGAUUUGGCUUUCAGUCAGGACGGAUUUAAAGCAGAGAAUUCCAUUUCAAAACACACACACACACACACACACACACAAAAUUUCUCUGAUUGAUAGAAAGAACUGGGUUGGCAGCAGACCAGUUAAUUCAAAAGCACUAAAUACGCCAGACUUCCAUAAUGUGCUGGAAAGACUGAUCUAGUUUUAGCCCAAGAACGUCUUUCUUUGUGCAAAGCCCAUGGUAUUACCUGGAAGCCUAUUUAACUGACGAUUACUGACAGUGAUUUCGGUGAGAAAGCUCUCCCUGUGUCAAGCUCUGCUGCUGGAAGGUACUGAACGACUUUGCUAUCGUGCAACAUAUCUCGUCUUCUAGCAUCAGUGAAGUGCGAUGGAUCAAUUGUAUAGAACUGAUCCUUCUCUCCUUUUAGACUUGCUCUGAUACACCAGAAGAGAGGCCCUUUAUUCUACAACGAUAACUAAACUAAAUCUGUUUUACUUCUGGAAAGGCCAUUAAUAAAUCUGAGCUAAUUUAGGGAUAAUUGGGACCCAUGGAUGUCCUUCAGUGUCACCCACAUAACCAGCUUUGAGGUGUUGUAUUAAUUUAGAUGGAAUAAAGGGGUCCAAAGAGUCAGAGGUGUUAACAUGAUCCGGUCACUGUCCUACAUUAAACAGCUUUAAACAAGAUUUAGAAUACAGAGAUCUCAGCCUGCUUAUUACCGUGGCAAACACCAUUAAACACUAUAACCAUUUUUCCUUCUUCUAUAUCUUUAAUAAAAGGUUAAAACUUCACAUUUCAAAUGCUUUAAGUAAGGCUUUCAUUUUAACGUCUUUAG